AUGAACGCUGGCGGCGUGCCUAAUCCCUGCAAGUCGAGCGAACAGACGAGGAGCUUGCUCCUCUGACGUUAGCGGCGGACGGGUGAGUAACACGUGGAUAACCUACCUAUAAGACUGGGAUAACUUCGGGAAACCGGAGCUAAUACCGGAUAAUAUAUUGAACCGCAUGGUUCAAUAGUGAAAGACGGCUUUGCUGUCACUUAUAGAUGGAUCCGCGCCGCAUUAGCUAGUUGGUAAGGUAACGGCUUACCAAGGCAACGAUGCGUAGCCGACCUGAGAGGGUGAUCGGCCACACUGGAACUGAGACACGGUCCAGACUCCUACGGGAGGCAGCAGUAGGGAAUCUUCCGCAAUGGGCGAAAGCCUGACGGAGCAACGCCGCGUGAGUGAUGAAGGUCUUCGGAUCGUAAAACUCUGUUAUUAGGGAAGAACAAAUGUGUAAGUAACUAUGCACGUCUUGACGGUACCUAAUCAGAAAGCCACGGCUAACUACGUG
rnacentral:rRNA from 1 species